rnacentral:rRNA from 1 species
UGAAGAAUCUUCCGCAAUGGACGAAAGUCUGACGGAGCAACACCGCGUGAAGGAUGAAGGCCCUCGGGUCGUAAACUUCUUUUCUGAGGGAAUAAGUUCUGAAGGUACCUCAGGAAUAAGGCGCUGCUAACUACGUGCCAGCAGCAGCGGUAAUACGUAGGCGCCAAGCGUUAUCCGGAAUUACUGGGCGUAAAGCGUCCGUAGGCGGCCAAAUUAGUCGGGUGUAAAAUUUUCGUGCCCAACACGAAAAGUGUACCCGAAACUGUUUGGCUACGAGUCUGAAAGAGGCCACUGGAAUUCCUAUUGGAGGAGUUAAAUCCGUAGAUAGUAGGAGGAACACCAAAAGCGAAGGCAGGUGGCUGGUUCAGUACUGACGCUCAGGGACGAAAGCGUGGGGAGCGAACA